AUGGUCGAAGCUCUGCGGAUACCAGAGCAAGCCGCUGAUUUCUAAUGACGGCAUCAUCGGACUGGGAAAGGCCUGCUAUCUGCUGCACUAUCGUCAUGUUCAAUCGGGACACGUGUUAAGCCAGUACCGACAGAAGCGACGCCCUGCACUGGACGCUACCGAGUAUAAGAAGAGCCACGGAGACGAUGUCCUACCAUUAUUGGCAGCAGCAGCGGCGUGUCGACAAGCGCUAAACCUCUGUUCUGCAAAUUGCAGGCAUCUACGGAGCAUGGUCGAAGCGCUGCGGAUACCAGAGCAAGCCGCUGAUUUCUAAUGACGGCAUCAUCGGACUGGGAAAGGCCUGCUAUCUGCUGCACUAUCGUCAUGUUCAAUCGGGACACGUGUUAAGCCAGCACCGACAGAAGCGACGCCCGGCACUGGACGCUACCGAGUAUAAGAAGAGCCACGGAGACGAUGUCCUACCAUUAUUGGAAGCAGUAGCGGCGUGUCGACAAGCGCUAAACCUCUGUUCUGCAAAUUGCAGGUUACUGGCAGCUGCGAAGC
rnacentral:lncRNA from 1 species